rnacentral:rRNA from 1 species
AUUGAACGCUGGCGGCAUGCCUUACACAUGCAAGUCGAACGGCAGCACGGGUGCUUGCCCCUGGUGGCGAGUGGCGAACGGGUGAGUAAUACAUCGGAACAUGUCCCGUAGUGGGGGAUAGCCCGGCGAAAGCCGGAUUAAUACCGCAUACGAUCUACGGAUGAAAGCGGGGGACCUUCGGGCCUCGCGCUAUAGGGUUGGCCGAUGGCGGAUUAGCUAGUUGGUGGGGUAAAGGCCUACCAAGGCGACGAUCAGUAGCUGGUCUGAGAGGAUGACCAGCCACACUGGGACUGAGACACGGCCCAGACUCCUACGGGAGGCAGCAGUGGGGAAUUUUGGACAAUGGGCGAAAGCCUGAUGCAGCAAUGCCGCGUGUGUGAAGAAGGCCUUCGGGUUGUAAAGCACUUUUGUCCGGAAAGAAAUCCUUGGCUCUAAUACAGUCGGGGGAUGACGGUACCGGAAGAAUAAGCAACGGCUAACUACGUG